AUACGUAGGUGGCAAGCGUUGUCCGGAAUUAUUGGGCGUAAAGCGCGCGCAGGUGGUUCCUUAAGUCUGAUGUGAAAGCCCCCGGCUCAACCGAGGAUCCGCGUCCGAUACUGUCGAACUUGAGUGCAGGAGAGGCGAGCGGAAUUACCAGUGUAGCGGUGAACUGCGUAGAUAUUGGGAGGAACACCGGUGGCGAAGGCGGCUCUCUGGACUGUUACUGACGCUGAGGCGCGAAAGCUAGGGGAGCAAACGGGAUUAGAUACCCCGGUAGUCCUAGCCGUAAACGAUGGGCACUAGGUGUGGGAGGUAUCGACCCCUUCCGUGCCGCAGCUAACGCAUUAAGUGCCCCGCCUGGGGAGUACGGCCGCAAGGUUGAAACUCAAAGGAAUUGACGGGG
rnacentral:rRNA from 1 species